rnacentral:lncRNA from 1 species
AGGCUGCAUCAUCAAAAGAUUACUCCUGACCCCCAUAUAUGCUUCAUUCAGACCCAUUAAAAACUGAAAAACCUUAUUGUCAUCACUUUCCUGUACUAUACCAUCUUUUGCAGCACAAAUACACCUUUGACUGUGAUUAACACACAUUGAAUCUAGUUCAUCCCACAGUCCUUUUAGCUUAUUAAAAUAGGAAGCUAUAUCUAAGGACUCUUGAGAGGUGUGGGACAGCUCUCUUUUCAGUUCAAAGAUUUUGGUCCUGUUUGCAGUGCCAUAUCUGGCCUGGAGUUGGGACCAUACACUCUGUGAUUUUGGUCCUGUUUGCAGUGCCAUAUCUGGCCUGGAGUUGGGACCAUACACUCUGUGCAGUAUCAGAGUACUGCACAGAUUCAGCAAUUGAAGGGGAGAUGGAAGCAGUUAACAAAGAAAUCACCAUGUUGUUGCACCUAUCCCACAACCUUUGUUGAGCCACAUUAAGGGCAGGUCGGGAGCAUGUGCCAUCAACAAAACCAAUUUUGUUUUUGGCUGAUAAAGCAACAAUCAUUUUACGUCUCCAGCCCUCAUAACCACUACCCGAGAAGGGAGUGGGGACAAGAGAGACCCCAGGGACAUCAGAGGAAUAUACAAAAAGG